rnacentral:rRNA from 1 species
UACGGAGGUCCCAAGCGUUGUUCGGAUUCACUGGGCGUAAAGGGUGCGUAGGUGGCUUGGUAAGUUUGAUGUGAAAUCUCCGGGCUUAACCCGGAAAUGGCAUUGAAUACUAUUGAGCUGGAGGUUUGGAGGGGGGACUGGAAUUCUCGGUGUAGCAGUGAAAUGCGUAGAUAUCGAGAGGAACACCAGUGGCGAAGGCGAGUCCCUGGACAACACCUGACGCUGAGGCACGAAAGCUAGGGGAGCAAACAGG